rnacentral:rRNA from 1 species
UAAUACGAGGGGGGCAAGCGUUGUCCGGAUUUAUUGGGCGUAAAGAGUUCGUAGGCGGGUUAGUCAGUCGAAAUUGAAAUCCCACGGCUUAACCGUGGACCCGGUUUCGAUACUACUAAUCUUGAGUGAGACAGAGGUAAGCGGAAUUCCUGGUGUAGCGGUGAAAUGCGUAGAUAUCAGGAGGAACACCGAAGGCGAAGGCAGCUUACUGGGUCUAUACUGACGCUGAGGAACGAAAGCGUGGGGAGCAAACAGGAUUAGAGACCCUGGUAGUCCACGCCGUAAACGAUGAGUACUUGGUGGUGGGGGAUUCGACCCCCUCACUGUCGGAGCUAACGCGUUAAGUACUCCGCCUGGGAACUACGACCGCAAGGUUG